rnacentral:rRNA from 1 species
UACGUAGGGCGCAAGCGUUGUUCGGAAUUACUGGGCGUAAAGGGCUCGUAGGCGGCCAACUCAGUCGGACGUGAAAUCCCUCGGCUUAACCGGGGAAUGGCGUCCGAUACUGGAUGGCUUGAGUUUGGGAGAGGGAUGCGGAAUUCCAGGUGUAGCGGUGAAAUGCGUAGAUAUCUGGAGGAACACCGGUGGCGAAGGCGGCAUCCUGGACCAACACUGACGCUGAGGAGCGAAAGCCAGGGGAGCAAAGCGGG